GAAAAUGUACUUGUGUCAUGCACAAAGUAGAUAUCCUAACUGACUUGCCAAAACUACAAUUUGUUAACAAGAAAUUUGUGGAGUGGUUGAAAAACAAGUUUUAAUGACUCCAACCUAAGUGUAUGUAAACUUCUGACUUCAACUGUAUAUUAUAAUUUUUUGAAUUUUAGGGGGUUAACUUAGGGUUAGGAUUCAGGAGAUAGAGGUUAGUUACAGAGUGAGACUGAGGGCUGAGGUAUAAGGGGUUAGCUUAAGGUUAGUAUUCAGGAGAUAGAGGUUAGUUACAGAGUGAGACUGAGGGCUGAGGUUUAGGGGGUUAGCUUAAGGUUAGGAUUCAGGAGAUAGAGGUUUUUACUUUUUUAUUUUUUAUUUUUAUUUUUUUAUUUUUUUAUUUUUUUAUUUUUUUAUUUCACCUUUAUUUAACCAGGUAGGCUAGUUGAGAACAAGUUCUCAUUUGAAACUGCGACCUGGCCAAGAUAAAGCAUAGCAGUGUGAGCAGACAACACAGAGUUACACAUGGAAUAAACAAUUAACAAGUCAAUAACACAGUAGAAAACAAAGGGGGGAGUCUAUAUACAAUGUGUGCAAAAGGCAUGAGGAGGUAGGCGAAUAAUUACAAUUUUGCAGAUUAACACUGGAGUGAUAAAUGAUCAGAUGGUCAUGUACAGGUAGAGAUAUUGGUGUGCAAAAGAGCAGAAAAGUAAAUAAAUAAAAACAGUAUGGGGAUGAGGUAGGUGAAAAUGGGUGGGCUAUUUACCAAUAGACUAUGUACAGUAGCAGCGAUCGGUUAGCUGCUCAGAUAGCUGAUGUUUGAAGUUGGUGAGGGAGAUAAAAGUCUCCAACUUCAGCGAUUUUUGCAAUUCGUUCCAGUCACAGGCAGCAGAGUACUGGAACGAAUGGCGGCCAAAUGAGGUGUUGGCUUUAGGGAUGAUCAGUGAGAUACACCUGCUGGAGCGCGUGCUACGGAUGGGUGUUGCCAUCGUGACCAGUGAACUGAGAUAAGGCGGAGCUUUACCUAGCAUGGACUUGUAGAUGACUUGGAGCCAGUGGGUCUGGCGACGAAUAUGUAACGAGGGCCAGCCGACUAGAGCAUACAGGUCGCAGUGGUGGGUGGUAUAAGGUGCUUUAGUGACAAAACGGAUGGCACCGUGAUAGACUGCAUCCAGUUUGCUGAGUAGAGUGUUGGAAGCCAUUUUGUAGAUGACAUCGCCGAAGUCGAGGAUCGGUAGGAUAGUCAGUUUUACUAGGGUAAGCUUGGCGGCGUG
ensembl:lncRNA